AGGGUUUGAUCCUGGCUCAGAACGAACGCUGGCGGCGUGCCUAACACAUGCAAGUCGAACGAGAAACUCCACCUUCGGGUGGAGGAGUAAAGUGGCGCACGGGUGAGUAACACGUGGGUAACCUGCCCUUGAAUCUGGGAUAACCUCGCGAAAGCGGGGCUAAUACCGGAUAAUGUCCUUGAGACUCCGGUCUCAGGGAUGAAAGGUGACCUCUCCAUGGAAGUUGCCGUUCAAGGAGGGGCCCGCGGCCUAUUAGCUUGUUGGUGGGGUAAUGGCCUACCAAAGCUAUGAUGGGUAGCUGGUCUGAGAGGAUGAUCAGCCACACUGGCACUGAAACACGGGCCAGACUCCUACGGGAGGCAGCAGUGAGGAAUAUUGCGCAAUGGGGGAAACCCUGACGCAGCAACGCCGUGUGAGCGAAGAAGGCCUUCGGGUCGUAAAGCUCUGUCAGGUGGGAAAAAAGUCCUAUGGUUAAUAGCCAUAGGAUCUGAUGGUACCACCAGAGGAAGCACCGGCUAACUCCGUGCCAGCAGCCGCGGUAAUACGGAGGGUGCAAGCGUUGUUCGGAAUCACUGGGCGUAAAGCGUGUGUAGGCGGUCUGGCAAGUCAGAUGUGAAAGCCUCCUGCUCAACAGGAGAAGUGCAUCUGAUACUGCCAGGCUGGAGUAUGGGAGAGGAGAGCGGAAUUCCCGGUGUAGAGGUGAAAUUCGUAGAUAUCGGGAGGAACACCGGUGGCGAAGGCGGCUCUCUGGCCCAAUACUGACGCUGAGACACGAAAGCGUGGGGAGCAAACAGGAUUAGAGACCCUGGUAGUCCACGCCGUAAACGGUGAGAACUAGGUGUGGUGGGGGUUAAACCCUGCCGUGCCGAAGCUAACGCGUUAAGUUCUCCGCCUGGGGACUACGGCCGCAAGGCUAAAACUCAAAGGAAUUGACGGGGGCCCGCACAAGCGGUGGAGCAUGUGGUUUAAUUCGACGCAACGCGAAGAACCUUACCUGGGCUUGGCAUCCCCUGACAGCCCUGGAAACAGGGUCUUCCCAGCUUUGCUGGGACAGGGUGACAGGUGCUGCAUGGCUGUCGUCAGCUCGUGCCGUGAGGUGUUGGGUUAAGUCCCGCAACGAGCGCAACCCCUGCCCUUAGUUGCCAGUAUUAAGUUAGGCACUCUAAGGGGACUGCCUGGGUUAACCAGGAGGAAGGUGGGGACGACGUCAAGUCAUCAUGGCCUUUAUGCCCAGGGCUACACACGUGCUACAAUGGGCGGUACAAAGGGUUGCGACACCGCGAGGUGAAGCUAAUCCCAAAAAGCCGCCCCCAGUUCGGAUUGGAGUCUGCAACUCGACUCCAUGAAGGCGGAAUCGCUAGUAAUCGUGGAUCAGCAUGCCACGGUGAAUACGUUCCCGGGCCUUGUACACACCGCCCGUCACACCACGAAAGUCAGCUGUACCAGAAGUUGCUGGGCUAACCCCUUUAUAGGGGAGGCAGGCACCGAAGGUAUGGCUGAUAAUUGGGGUGAAGUCGUAACAAGGUAGCCG
rnacentral:rRNA from 1 species